rnacentral:ncRNA from 1 species
UGUGGGUACCAGAUCGGUCGCCGCACUUAAAAGGGAAGGCUGUGCAAAUCAGCCGCUGUCCCGCAGCCGUGAGUCUUAUUCAACCGCGUUUCUUCACUCUUAGCCACUGUUACGUUUGUAAUGGGAAGGUUAGAAACAAGGGAGACGAGCCGGAAGACCUGCCACGAAAGAAU